UACGUAGGGUGCAAGCGUUGUCCGGAAUUAUUGGGCGUAAAGAGCUCGUAGGCGGUCUGUCGCGUCUGCUGUGAAAACCUAGGGCUUAACUUUGGGCGUGCAGUGGGUACGGGCAGGCUAGAGUGCGGUAGGGGAGACUGGAAUUCCUGGUGUAGCGGUGAAAUGCGCAGAUAUCAGGAGGAACACCGGUGGCGAAGGCGGGUCUCUGGGCCGUAACUGACGCUGAGGAGCGAAAGCAUGGGGGAGCGAACAGG
rnacentral:rRNA from 1 species